AUAUGCUAAGUGGAAAACGUUGUGAAGGUGCAUAGACAACUAGGAGGUUGGCUCAGAAGCAGCCACCCUUUAAAGAGUGC
rnacentral:rRNA from 1 species